GCGUCAGUGGUGCAACGGUUAGCAUACGCACUCGGAAAGAGUGAGAUUUGGGUUCGAAUCUCGACUGACGCA